CGUCGUACGGGUGCGUAACGCGUAUGCAACCUACCUAUCACUGGGGGAUAGCCCGGGGAAACCCGGAUUAAUACCGCAUAAGACAGGGAUCCCGCAUGGGCAUUCUUUGUUAAAGAUUUUAUCGGUGGUAGAUGGGCAUGCGUUCGAUUAGCUAGUUGGUAUGGGUAACGGCCUACCAAGGCGACGAUCGAUAGGGGAGCUGAGAGGUUGAUCCCCCACACGGGCACUGAGAUACGGGCCCG
rnacentral:rRNA from 1 species